rnacentral:rRNA from 1 species
AUGGGGAUUUGCCAUGGGGGAACCCUGAUGCAGCCUGCCGCGUGUGUGAAGAAGGCCUUCGGGUUGUAAAGCACUUUCAGUUGUGAGGAAAAGUUAGUAGUUAAUACCUGCUAGCCGUGACGUUAACAACAGAAGAAGCACCGGCUAACUCCGUGCCAGCAGCCGCGGUAAUACGGAGGGUGCGAGCGUUAAUCGGAAUUACUGGGCGUAAAGCGCACGCAGGCGGUUUGUUAAGCUAGAAGAUGUGAAAGCCCCGGGCUCAACCUGGGAUGGUCAUUUAGAACUGGCAGACUAGAGUCUUGGAGAGGGGAGUGGAAUUCGGUGUAGCGGUGAAAUGCGUAGAUAUCUGGAGGAACAUCAGUGGCGAAGGCGACUCCCUGGCCAAAGACUGACGCUCAUGUGCGAAAGUGUGGGUAGCGAACAGGAUUAGAUACCCUGGUAGUCCACACCGUAAACGCUGUCUACUAGCUGUGUGUGCCUUUAAGGCGUGCGUAGCGAAGCUAACGCGCUAAGUAGACCGCCUGGGGAGUACGGCCGCAAGGUUAAAACUCAAAUGAAUUGACGGGGGCCCGCACAAGCGGUGGAGCAUGUGGUUUAAUUCGAUGCAACGCGAAGAACCUUACCUACACUUGACAUGCUGAGAAGUUACUAGAGAUAUUUCGUGCUUCGGGAACUCAGACAC